CCUACGGGAGGCAGCAGUGAGGAAUAUUGGUCAAUGGGCGUAAGCCUGAACCAGCCAAGUCGCGUGAGGGAUGAAGGUUCUAUGGAUCGUAAACCUCUUUUAUAAGGGAAUAAAGUGUGGGACGUGUCCUGUUUUGUAUGUACCUUAUGAAUAAGGAUCGGCUAACUCCGUACCAGCAGCCGCGGUAAUACGGAGGAUCCGAGCGUUAUCCGGAUUUAUUGGGUUUAAAGGGUGCGUAGGCGGCCUUUUAAGUCAGCGGUGAAAGUCUGUGGCUCAACCAUAGAAUUGCCGUUGAAACUGGGAGGCUUGAGUAGGUUUGAGGCAGGCGGAAUGCGUGGUGUAGCGGUGAAAUGCUUAGAUAUCACGCAGAACCCCGAUUGCGAAGGCAGCCUGCCAAGCCAUGACUGACGCUGAUGCACGAAAGCGUGGGGAUCAAACAGGAUUAGAUACCCGGGUAGUC
rnacentral:rRNA from 1 species